CAGUGAGCAAAAUGUCAUGUGAAUGCACAGACACAGAUACAGGGUGAACACCAUGUGAUGACAGGGCAGGGACUGGAGUUACGGAGCUGCAAGUCAAGGAACACCAAAGAUUACUGGCAACCUCCGGAAGCUAGGAAGAUGCAAAGAAGGAUGCUCCUCUGGAGUCCUCAGACAGAACAUGUGUUUUCCAGAGGCCGGGGAUGUGUACAAAAUCAUCUUUCCUAAAACAAACAUACAGAACAACAUGUCAGCAAGUGGAAACCGGUACAAAAGAUGGGGCGAAUUUCCAGUAGAAUGGUAACUCUGAGAAGGUGAAACAUUGUGUCAAGUUCAAAAAUUUAAACAGGCUAUUUCAUACAGAGACCUGGAGAGAUCACAGUUAAGAAGAAUCUAUUGCAAAUAGUAAGUUAUAAUCACCUGAAGAUGAAUCACGUGCUAAAAAUCUAAGAUGAAGUUCCAAACCCAUUAGAUGAGAGAAAGGGACUAAAGACUGUUCCCAAAGAACCGUCUCAUGUGCAUGAUCAUCUGGCAUCAACUUUCCAGCUCUACAUUUCAAAUAGAAUUAUUUAAGGAUAUUGGAUGUACCAAUGAAGACAGGCAAGAUAAGCCUGAAUGCAGAAGUAUCACAGAGAGAAAGACCAUGUUGAAAGGCCCUGGAGCCUGAGACAUCAUGCAAACUGAGAGAGACCACGUGGAGAAGAGCAGAGACACUGCAGUCACUGUCAGCACUCAGGACUCAGAGCUGUGAGAGAGGCCGCCUUGGCCCAUCCAGCCAGGUUCAUCCAGCUUGAGUGACCUCACCUAAUACUAUGGGGAGAAGA